AAGAGCACGACAUUGCUCACAUUGCUUCCAGUAUUUUUUAUUAGCCGGCUCGGGUGCCGGCUAUUUUUU
rnacentral:antisense_RNA from 1 species